CCUACGGGUGACAGCAGUGAGGAAUAUUGGUCAAUGGACGCAAGUCUGAACCAGCCAUGCCGCGUGCAGGAAGACGGCUCUAUGAGUUGUAAACUGCUUUUGUACGAGGGUAAACGCAGAUACGCGUAUCUGUCUGAAAGUAUCUUACGAAUAAGGAUCGGCUAACUCCGUGCCAGCAGCCGCGGUAAUACGGAGGAUUCAAGCGUUAUCCGGAUUUAUUGGGUUUAAAGGGUUCGUAGGCGGUCGGAUAAGUUAGAUGUGAAAUUCCGAGGCUCAACUUCGGAAUUGCAUCUGAUACUGGUAGGCUAGAGAGUAGUUGCGGUAGGCGGAAUGUAUGGUGUAGCGGUGAAAUGCUUAGAGAUCAUAAAGAACACCGAUUGCGAAGGCAGCCUACUAAGCUACUUCUGACGUUGAGGCACGAAAGCGUGGGGAGCAAACAGGAUUAGAUACCCUAGUAGUC
rnacentral:rRNA from 1 species